rnacentral:rRNA from 1 species
GACGAACGCUGGCGGCGUGCUUAACACAUGCAAGUCGAGCGGUAAGGCCCUUUCGGGGGUACACGAGCGGCGAACGGGUGAGUAACACGUGGGUGACCUGCCCUCAGCUCUGGGAUAAGCCUGGGAAACCGGGUCUAAUACUGGAUAUGACUCCAUGACGCAUGUUGUGGGGUGGAAAGCCUUGUGCGGCUGAGGAUGGGCCCGCGGCCUAUCAGCUUGUUGGUGGGGUGAGGCCUACCAAGGCGACGACGGGUAGCCGGCCUGAGAGGGCGACCGGCCACACUGGGACUGAGACACGGCCCACGACUCCUACGGGAGGGCAGCAGUGGGGAAUCUUGCGCAAUGGGCGAAAGCCUGACGCAGCGACGCCGCGUGA